rnacentral:rRNA from 1 species
CCCUUAGACGUUCUGGGCCGCACGCGCGCUACACUGACCAGUGCAACAAGCAUCCGUCCUUGGCCGACAGGCCCGGGCAAUCUUUGAACGCUGGUCGUGAUGGGGAUAGACUUUUGCAAUUUUUGGUCUUCAACGAGGAAUUCCUAGUAAACGCAAGUCAUCAACUUGCAUUGAUUACGUCCCUGCCCUUUGUACACACCGCCCGUCGCACCUACCGAUUGAGUGGUCCGGUGAGGCUUUGGGAUCUGAGCGGAAAGAGCGUUUCGCUGUUUCUGCCCGGAAAACUCAGUCGAACCUUAUCAUUUAGAGGAAGGAGAAGUCGUAACA